CUCAGGGCCGCGAGACCGGGAAGGAGCAGGACUCUUGGAGAGGCAGAUGGUCUUAGUUGCUGCCGGACCGGCGCUGGCGGCCCCUGUCCUGGCCACAGUCCUGGAACUAGGAGAAGGAUGAAAUAGAGGGGAGGCCCUACUUAGCUGAUGGAGGAGGACACUGUGGGCUGAUGGCCCUGGGCUCACAGCUUAUGGAACCCAGGGCCUUGUGCAUACAAGUCAAGCACUCCCAACUGAGCUGCAUCCCAGCCCCAGCAUGCGCUUUGGAUGGACUAAAGCCAGGGGAAAGGUGCUGUUGGAGACUUACAUGGUGUAUCCCAGGUGUCGAUGUCAGCCUGGAUGUCCCCGAAAGAAGCAGGCACGUGACCUGCCCUGUGUUCCGUGGUUAAGAGGAUUGAGGUCACCGGCUGAGGUCACCCCACCCACUUCUCAUGUUCACUGUUCACCGAAUUUCCUUUAAAAAGAAGAGCCCAAGACCCCCAAAGAGCAGCUACGGCUGAGUGGCCCCACCCUCCUUCUGCAUGUGUGUCCCGUUCCAUUGCUUGCUUUACUGAAUAAAGCUUGCUCUCCUAAAUAAAUGCCUGCCUCAGCCAGGGUCUCAG